rnacentral:rRNA from 1 species
GACGAACGCUGGCGGCGUGCUUAACACAUGCAAGUCGAACGGAAAGGCCCUUCUUUUGUGGGGUGCUCGAGUGGCGAACGGGUGAGUAACACGUGAGUAACCUGCCCUUGACUUUGGGAUAACUUCAGGAAACUGGGGCUAAUACCGGAUAGGAGCUCCUGCUGCAUGGUGUUGUUUGGAAAGUUUCGGCGGUUGGGGAUGGACUCGCGGCUUAUCAGCUUGUUGGUGGGGUAGUGGCUUACCAAGGCUUUGACGGGUAGCCGGCCUGAGAGGGUGAACGGCCACAUUGGGACUGAGAUACGGCCCAGACUCCUACGGGAGGCAGCAGUGGGGAAUAUUGCACAAUGGGCGGAAGCCUGAUGCAGCAACGCCGCGUGCGGGAUGACGGCCUUCGGGUUGUAAACCGCUUUCGCCUGUGACGAAGCGUGAGUGACGGUAAUGGGUAAAGAAGCACCGGCUAACUACGUG